CUGGAGGAGGUGGACCCGUUGCCCGUGCCCAAUAGCCCCGCGAUGAUGCAGCAAAUGCCUUCGGUGAAGAUGCCUCUGUAAGGAAAGGAAACUCAAAAGGACAGGGUUCAGAAAGCUUCUGGAUACUGAACACGUGGAGAUUCCUGGAGGGUGAUGCAUCAAUUGAGGGCAGCUCCGAGCCCAUUCCCCAUACCUUGCCCUGAGCAUCUCUUCAUCUGUAUCCUUUGUAACAUCCUUUAUCAGAAACUGGUAAACAUUUUUCUCUGAGCUCUAUGA